UACGUAGGGUGCAAGCGUUGUCCGGAAUUAUUGGGCGUAAAGAGCUCGUAGGCGGUUUGUCGCGUCUGCUGUGAAAACUCAGGGCUUAACUCUGAGCUUGCAGUGGGUACGGGCAGACUAGAGUGCGGUAGGGGAGACUGGAAUUCCUGGUGUAGCGGUGAAAUGCGCAGAUAUCAGGAGGAACACCAGCGGCGAAGGCGGCGCUCUGGGCCGGUACUGACACUGAGGAGCGAAAGCGUGGGGAUCAAACAGG
rnacentral:rRNA from 1 species